rnacentral:lncRNA from 1 species
GAAUUACUAAAACUGAAAUUACUAUCUUUGGGAAGCAUAAAACUAAAGUCUAGGUAAGAGAAAGGCAUGAUAUAAAGUUGAGUUGCUGUUUAUCUUGUUCCUACUACACUAAGUUCUGGAGAUUUAUUUUGAAAACUUACAAAUCACAUGAUGAGUUCCUAGCAUAACAAACUACCUACCACAGCCAUACUUGCUAUAACAUCUUUUACUAUAUUCACAUUGAGUUUGAUCGAGCUGUGUAGACCCUUAGGAGCUUUUCAUGUGGUUAAAUUGAGAUAUUCACUUGCACACAUC